rnacentral:rRNA from 1 species
UACGAAGGUCCCAAGCGUUGUUCGGAAUCACUGGGCGUAAAGGGAGCGUAGGCGGCGUGGUAAGUCAGAUGUGAAAUCCCGGGGCUCAACCCCGGAACUGCACCCGAUACUGCCAUGCUUGAGGGUUGGAGAGGUGACUGGAAUUCUCGGUGUAGCAGUGAAAUGCGUGGAUAUCGAGAGGAACACUCGUGGCGAAGGCGAGUCACUGGACAACAUCUGACGCUGAGGCUCGAAGGCUAGGGUAGCGAAAGGG